GCUGUGGCUCAGUGGGAGAGCAUUGGCUUUGCAUGCAGAAGGCCUCAAGUUCAAUCCCUGGCAUCUGCA